rnacentral:rRNA from 1 species
AGAAUUGAUCUGGUUCAGGAUGAACGCUAGCGACAGGCUUAACACAUGCAAGUCGAGGGGCAGCACGGGAGUAGCAAUACAACUGGUGGCGACCGGCGCACGGGUGAGUAACGCGUAUGCAACCUACCUAUCAGAGGGGAAUAACCCGGCGAAAGUCGGACUAAUACCGCAUAAAACAGGGGCACCGCAUGGUGAUAUUUGUUAAAGAAAUUCGCUGAUAGAUGGGCAUGCGUUCCAUUAGGUAGUUGGUGAGGUAACGGCUCACCAAGCCGACGAUGGAUAGGGGAACUGAGAGGUUGGUCCCCCACACUGGUACUGAGACACGGACCAGACUCCUACGGGAGGCAGCAGUGAGGAAUAUUGGUCAAUGGGCGAGAGCCUGAACCAGCCAAGUCGCGUGAAGGAAGAAGGAUCUAUGGUUCGUAAACUUCUUUUGCAGGGGAAUAAAGUGCAGGACGUGUCCUGUUUUGUAUGUACCCUGAGAAUAAGGAUCGGCUAACUCCGUGCCAGCCGCCGC